GACGAACGCUGGCGGCGUGCUUAACACAUGCAAGUCGAACGGAAAGGCCCUGCUUGCAGGGUACUCGAGUGGCGAACGGUGAGUAACACGUGGGUGAUCUGCCCUGCACUUCGGGAUAAGCCUGGGAAACUGGGUCUAAUACCGGAUAGGAGCCAUUUUUAGUGUGAUGGUUGGAAAGUUUUUUCGGUGUAGGAUGAGCUCGCGGCCUAUCAGCUUGUUGGUGGGGUAAUGGCCUACCAAGGCGGCGACGGGUAGCCGGCCUGAGAGGGUGGACGGCCACAUUGGGACUGAGAUACGGCCCAGACUCCUACGGGAGGCAGCAGUGGGGAAUAUUGCACAAUGGGCGCAAGCCUGAUGCAGCGACGCCGCGU
rnacentral:rRNA from 1 species